rnacentral:rRNA from 1 species
AUUGAACGCUGGCGGCAUGCCUUACACAUGCAAGUCGAACGGUAACAGGUCUUCGGAUGCUGACGAGUGGCGAACGGGUGAGUAAUACAUCGGAACGUGCCUAGUAGUGGGGGAUAACUACUCGAAAGAGUGGCUAAUACCGCAUGAGAUCUACGGAUGAAAGCAGGGGAUCGCAAGACCUUGUGCUACUAGAGCGGCCGAUGGCAGAUUAGGUAGUGGGUGGGAUAAAAGCUUACCAAGCCGACGACCUGUAGCUGGUCUGAGAGGACGAUCAGCCACACUGGGACUGAGACACGGCCCAGACUCCUACGGGAGGCAGCAGUGGGGAAUUUUGGACAAUGGGCGAAAGCCUGAUCCAGCAAUGCCGCGUGCAGGAUGAAGGCCUUCGGGUUGUAAACUGCUUUUGUACGGAACGAAAAGCCCCGGGUUAAUACCCUGGGGUCAUGACGGUACCGUAAGAAUAAGCACCGGCUAACUACGUGCCAGCAGCCGCCGUAA